GUGCUUGCUUUGGCAGCACAUACACUAAAGUUGGAACAAUACAGAGAAGGUUAGCGUGGACCCUGUGUAAAGAUGGCAUGCAAAUUCGUGAAGCAUUUCAUAUUUUU